AGAUGUCGAUAGUGUGAUAGACUAUGCUGACAAUCCCCGAGCUCGUAACGCGACUCCAAAAUCUAUAAAACAGACACAAGCAAAAUACACACACAAAGUAAGCUUCUUAUUCCCUUGUAAUUAAAUGGCUAAUUCAUACCUGAAACUGUUAUACGUUUUCAUGAACGGACUUUAUUUCAUAUUACCUGUUGAACCAUUCGGAAUUAAAAAAGGAUACGCUGAUGGUCGGAAACUCGUACAAUGCCAACGUCCCAGACGUGGUCUUACAUGUAAUCAUAUAUCGAUGCCACUGUCCCAGACACGGUCUUACACGAAUCAAAAACGAUGCCAAUGUCCCAGACAUGGUCUUUCACGUUCACAUAAGUUGAUGCCAACGUCUCAGACAUGGUCUUACACGAAAACACAGAUCGGAUAUCCUAUGUCAUGACAUAUGUAUCCUAACUAUUCCUAAGGUUCAUACGGGGCUUACGGACGUC
rnacentral:lncRNA from 1 species